ACUCCUACGGGAGGCAGCAGUGGGGAAUAUUGCACAAUGGGGAAACCCUGAUGCAGCCAUGCCGCGUGUGUGAAGAAGGCCUUCGGUUGUAAAGCACUUUCAGUAGGGAGGAAGGUAGUGUAGUUAACACCUGCACUAUUUGACGUUACCUACAGAAGAAGCACCGGCUAACUCCGUGCCAGCAGCCGCGGUAAUACGGAGGGGUGCGAGCGUUAAUCGGAAUUACUGGGCGUAAAGCGCAUGCAGGCGGCCUGUUAAGUCAGAUGUGAAAGCCCGGGGGCUUAACCUCGGAAUUGCAUUUGAAACUGGCAGGCUAGAGUCUUGUAGAGGGGGUAGAAUUUCAGGUGUAGCGGUGAAAUGCGUAGAGAUCUGAAGGAAUACCAGUGGCGAAGGCGGCCCCCUGGACAAAGACUGACGCUCAGAUGCGAAAGCGUGGGGAGCGAAACAGGAUUAGAUACCCUGGUAGGAUAGCG
rnacentral:rRNA from 1 species